rnacentral:rRNA from 1 species
AGCGAACGCUGGCGGCGUGCCUAACACAUGCAAGUCGAACGUGAACGGGCUCCGGCCCUAGCAAAGUGGCGUACGGGUGAGUAACGCGUAGGUAAUCUACCCUAAAGCUGGGAAUAACCUGUCGAAAGACGGGCUAAUACCGAAUAGAGCGAUAGAAUCGUAAAGAUUCUCUCGGGAAAGAGAGGUCGCAAGAUCCCUCACUUUAGGAUGAGCCUGCGUCUCAUUAGCUAGUUGGUAGGGUAAUGGCCUACCAAGGCUGAGAUGAGUAGCUGGUAUUAGAGGACGAUCAGCCACACUGGAACUGAACCACGGUCCAGACUCCUACGGGAGGCAGCAGUGGGGAAUAUUGCGCAAUGGACGAAAGUCUGACGCAGCAACGCCGCGUGAGUGAAGAAGGCCUUAGGGUUGUAAAGCUCUGUCAAGUGGGACGAAAAAUCCAGUAGUUAAUAGCUAUUGGACUUGACGGUACCACUGAAGGAAGCACCGGCUAACUCCGUGCCAGCCGCCGCAGUAA